CAGCAGCCGCGGUAAUACAGAGGGUGCAAGCGUUAAUCGGAAUUACUGGGCGUAAAGCGCGCGUAGGUGGUUUGUUAAGUUGGAUGUGAAAGCCCCGGGCUCAACCUGGGAACUGCAUCCAAAACUGGCAAGCUAGAGUACGGUAGAGGGUGGUGGAAUUUCCUGUGUAGCGGUGAAAUGCGUAGAUAUAGGAAGGAACACCAGUGGCGAAGGCGACCACCUGGACUGAUACUGACACUGAGGUGCGAAAGCGUGGGUAGCAAACAGGAUUAGAUACCCCAGUAGUCCCUGUCUCUUAUAC
rnacentral:rRNA from 1 species